GUUUCACCAGAAAGUUAUGCGGAAGGUUAAUCUGCAGGGCUGGGCUCUUUGUUAGGAAUGUGCCAGGGUGUCCCAGUUGCACACGGUGUCUGGGAGGUGUUGAUCAUGUCGUGGACGAGCUGAACCAAACCCGGGCACGGGACACUGGCGCUUGGGGAGAAGAGGGUGAUGUGACGUUCCAUCCGGAUUCACUCCGGAUUCCCCCACCCGACAACAGGUGGCUUUACUCCGUGUGAGCAGAUUUUCUUUGAUUUGCCCCCUGAGAGGAUCCAAGAUCUGCACAGUGUGUCCCUCCCCUUGGCAGCUGUGGGAGGCUCCCACUCGGCCCUGCUGAGCCGUGACUGUGGUGUCCCCAGGAUGACUGACCCGGGAAGAGACAUUUGGGUGUAAGCUCCUGGGACAGCCGACCUGGUGUCUUUCACCUCGCGGAUGAAGCCGGAGUCGGGCCACACGUCUCGUCUCAGAGCAGCAGGGCCAUGGGCACACAGGACUCCGUCCUAGGACUCACCCGCUGUUUUUUUUUUUUUCUCGCCUGUUGCCCCCUCGCAGGAGCCGUGUCCCUCCUUGCUUUCUCGACGAACCGUAGACGUGUUUUCAUUUAAAUUACUGCCAAGAAGGCUACAGAAAGCGCAUUCUCCUCGAACCUUUAAGAGGCCGAGGCUUGUCCCGGUUUCACGUGGCCAUCCAUAACGAAUGUGGCUAAAACAGCUAUUCGUUCCGGUAUUUGUGCAGAUCAGUAAUGCAGCCACAGCAGAAAACUCGUUCUUUUAUUGCAGACUUAGUUAAAUACGGAGCCGAGUGAGUCAUUGGAAGGUCACGUGUGUCCGGGCCCGGCAGCCGUGGGGUUGUGGGAUGGUCACCCAGCACCGCUCCAGAAUGCAGCGGCCGUCAGCACAGCGCCCGAUUACCGGGUGGAAUUAAAAUAAGACUUGGCCUUUCUUCGGACGACAAAUUCUUUGUGAAAACCAGACUUGGGUUUUUACCCUGACCUCCACUAGAGGCUCUGUGAGCCGGUUGUGUUCCGUCUUUGUGGCGGUGCCCCCCCCAUCCCCCCCGCCCGUGGGAUACGGUUCCUAAAGCCCAACUUCUGACCUGCGUGCCCCUUUGGGAACUUUCCUCGGUUGUCCUCUAGCGGGGUGAGCUCUGGGCGGAGUCCCCUUCACCCACGUGCCUUCUUUGUUCCCGAUCGCUGCACCCCUUUGAAAGUCAACGGAGGAGAUAGGAGGGAGGAAGGAGUCAAAGUAAAAGAAAGGUGUUCCUUCUCCCGUCAUUGUAGAUACGUGGGAGCCCUGCUGGGUGUUUGCCUUUAGUUUCUUCCCCCCACAGUAACGACGCACAAGUUGCAAAGCGCAGAGGAUUCAAAGGCUGGCGCUGAACAGCAGCUCCCAGCGCCCGGCUUCCCAGGGGCCUGGCCUCGGCGCCUGCUUCGUGCGGCUCUGUCUUCCAAGCGUGCGGGUCUCCUGUUUCUGAGUAACACCCGUGCGCUGCGCCUUUUGACCCAUCGUCUUGAGCCCGCUGACUGCUUUUCUGGCGGAUUCAGGCUGAGCACUCACGGACCCCCUCUGCUUCUCCUUCGCCGUCCUCCAGUACAGUCCUCCUGCGCGAUUUCUGUUCGGCUAGCGUUCACGGUUGUCACGCGGACACAACAGUCGCCCGCCUCCUGGACUCGUCUGGCCAGACCCCCUGCGUCUCCUUCCUGUUCCCCGCCUAGUUGUUGUCUCGCGGUUUCCGUGGCCGAACUUUCCUUGGUGGCCAACUCUCAUUCCUGCAGGGCCCGGAGCCUCUCUGCCUAACUUUGCACAAGGUCAACCACAUCUCCUGAUCUGUCCAUUCGGUCUGUUGCUUAGAUGUGUGAAAGACUUUGCAGACGAUUCAGCUGUGGUGGGAACGUUGUUACGGUUUUGUUACAAUCUCGGGUGCAAGGGGAGAGGCCCCAGGAGGCCAGUCCCCAAGCUGAUCUCAGUUAGGAAUUUUGUAUUUUGCAGGGAAAUUUGGAUUAUUUUACAGGGGAGGUUGGAUUAUUGUUAGAGUAAAUACAAAAAGAGGCCCAGCUAAA